GUCACAUGUCAGAGGGGUGUUGAAGUGUAUAUGUGGAUUGUCUAGCCCUUUCCAUCAGUUCGGAUUUUUGGUUGCGUUGGCUAGUGCAUGAAGUUUAACAUGGUAUCAGAGCCUAAGGUCUUGAGUUCAAGUCCUGGCUUCCCCAAUUUAUCCAAAAAUUGUUGUUGCGCCCCUCUGUGUCCAUGUAUAGGCCUCUUGAGCCAUACCUUUGAGUCUAUUCACGUGUUGACUUCUCGCGUCACACGUGAGAGGGGGUGUUGAAGUGUAUAUGUAGAUUGCCUAGCCCUUUCCAUCAGUUUUGACUUUUGGUUGCGUUGGCUAGUGCAUGAAGCUUAACACGGGCAACGAGGAAUAACAAUGUAGCCCGACGAUGAAGACAUUGUACCUGUUUUUUUCUUUCUUUUUUCUCUUUUUUUACCAAAAGCCAACCAACCUAAUCAAAUCAAAACCAAAUCGCGUCAAUCAUCCACAUCGAACCAACACCAAAUUGUGGCGGCUGGCUCGGAAGGCAGCGAGCAAAGCCCACACAGGAGGUCAGUGGGUGAGGCCGACUUGGGAGGUCGGCGGACGAAGCCGGCGGGAUCUGGUGUGUGGUUGUGAGCGGCGAGCCGAUAGGGAUUGAUUGGCUAGAGGCCGGCGCCGGGCGCUAGAGGCCUAGAUGGGCAGGUACAGGAGGGCACAUGACUGGAGGCAUUGGAGACACGGGUGAUGGGAGGCGUAGGCGCGACAAUCGGGUGGCGGGUGCUCUAGAGGCGCAGAUGGACGGGCCUACUUGGGAGGUCGGCGGACAAAGCCUGCGGGUAGAGUGGUGGCGGGAUCUGAUGUGUGGUUGUAAGCGGCGGGCUGACAGGGAUUGAUUGGCUAGAGGCUGGCGCCGGGCGCUAGAGGCCCAGAUGGGCAUGCACAGGAGGGCAGACGACUAGAGGCGUGGGAGACACAGGCGAUGGGAGGCGUAGGCGCGGCAAUCGGGUGGCGGGUGCUAGAGGCGUGGAUGGAUGGGCACCAGAUGGUAGGUGACUUGAGGCGUGGGAGUCACAGGUGGUGGAAGGCGUGGGCUCGGCAAUCGGGUGGCAGGAGGCGUAGUGACGGUCGAUGGGAGCGGCUGGCCUGCGGGGAAGAGGAAGACAACAACGACCGGCAAGAAUGCAACGGUGGCGCAAGAUUGGAUCAGGAAGAGCAUGAGUUGUGCAUGUUAAAAAAAUACCUAGGGUUCUAAUACCAUGUUAUGAAAUAUGCAACUUGCAUUUUCCGGGGCCAAGGGCCAGUAUAUAUAUACACAUACAAGUGGUAAAUUUGCAGGAAACCCCUCACACUAUGGGGAAAAUAUACAGGGUAUACAUGGAGCAUAAUAUAACUUAACAUGCUCAUCAGCAUCAGAAACUGAUUCUUAUAAUAACACAUAUUCUCGUAUAAAUAUUUAUGUGAUUUUUUUGCGAAAUGUUUAUAUGAUUACUGAUGGUUAUUACUUCAGCAAACCUGUGUGUAUACUGUAUACCAACAAAUAUUUGACCUUUUUAGGAGAGUACGCGGUGAAGAUAUAUUCUGUUCUUAUCUGGAAGGCAGUAUUUAUUUGAUUACCUUCAGACACUCCAAAAGUGUGGCCGAAAUUGCUUGACCCCUGUAGUCUUUUCUCGUAAUGGCUAGUGUGCCGUGCCAAUGUAUUACGAGUCUUUUGCAUAUUAUAAGAUACUCCCUCCGUUCCUAAAUAUUUGUCCUUCUAGAGGUUUCAACAAGUGACUACAUACAAAGCAAAAUGAGUGAACCUACACUCUAAAAUAUGUCUAUAUACAUCCGUAUGUGGUUGUCCAUUUCAGGUUUCAACAAGUGACUACAUACAAAGCAAAAUGAGUGAACCUACACUCUAAAAUAUGUCUAUAUACAUCCGUAUGUGGUUGUCCAUUUGAAAUCUCUAAAAGGACAAAUAUUUAGGAACGGAGGCAGUACAUGUUAGUGAGUUACAGUGUAGGACAAUAUCCUUAUUCUUAUGUGCUUUCUUUGCCAGAACAAGUUUGUGAGGCCACAAAUUAUAUAUGCAUAUACCAGCUAUAAUCUCAUGUAGGCUGUAAUCUUGAGAUUGCAGGAACCAUAAGUUCUAUGUCAUGGUCCAGCAAAGCAGGUCUCACCUAUAUUUUAUUCUUUAGUUCCUCCUUUUCAAUGGAAAAUCCCCAAAACUGAACUUCCAAUAAUGAUCACCAGUGGGCACAGUCUAUUUUGCUGGUGAAUCAGCCAGAGGACUUUCCACUUGUAGGUGUACGGUGUACCCAGUACCCACAGCCCACAGCCCACUUGUAGGUCUUUAGCAUGCAAGAAGCAACAGUCUUUCUUUAGCAAAAGCUGGAAGGGGAACUUGACCCAUACUUGACAAAGUUACACGGGUCACAAGGUACAUGGUACAAGACCUAUCGAUACAAGAGUUGUGAGUAAUGAUGCACAUGCUUGGUUCAAUGGACUGGGAUCUGUGCGGCGCAUGUGUUUGAGAAUGGCAGCUUUUGGUAGUAGGGAAAAAUAUCUAUACAACUGAAAAAUGCUCACUGCUCAUUGUUACAAUGGGCAUUUCCGAUACAGUGAUUCACAGUCUGAAAACUAAACCUCUUCAGCUUGUAUAGCUUCUCUGGUGAAUUCCCAGUUCUGCGUGACUCUGUAAUGUACGAUUGUGAGCACGUCUACUGCUUCUUGCAUGCAAUCAUGUCAAGUGGUGAUGAGGAAUAUGAAAGGACUCCGACGGGCUCUGGGCGAGCAUGGCUGUUGUUUCUACGGCCUAUGCGAGAGUGGGGGUUAAAUUCUCAAGGGCGAGACAGCUUCCAGUGUCGACACGUCGGCGAGGCUACAUUGGAGACUGAGAAAUAUCCUAUUUGUUGCCAAGACUUAUCAGUACUGUGAGUGCCCUUAUCUCCCAUCUUUUUCCCUGUCAAAUCUGUCUAUUGUCCUUCAUGUUUGUUAAUGUUAGUUUAUUGGAGUACUGCUGGUUCUGUUUGCAUGUUCUGAAUCCUGUGACGAUUGUACUUCUGUGAACAUGGUUGGGAACGAUAAUGGUAGCAACCUGAUAGGGCAGUAUGAAAACAACUUGGCUCAACUGUAGCUGAACUGAAGCAACUGGUAUUAGCUCUCUAAGUUUUGGAUUUAUAUUGAACUUCAUUUCUGCAAAACUGGAGUAUGGUCACACCCAGUGUGUCAUCUGCACGAAUUUCGCAUGAAAUUGGUGGCAGAAACAUAGGCACUGAUUGCAUAGAUUUGGUUGUAAUCUGGAUGACUAAACCAAGUGUUGCUGAUCUAAAUAAAAAAAGGCAAGACCUCCGUGUUAAAUAGCAAGUCAGUUAAAAAUCUACAGGCCUUGUCUUUUUUUUUGUUUGUUGACAAAAUAUUUAAAGUUUGUACACAUGUUGUUUCUGUACUUGUGGGAAUUCCUAUGAUAUAUUUUUCAUAGCAUAUUACCUGUCCAGUUAGUUUCGUAUGAGCAGGGUCUUUGUAGAGAGUUGCAUAGAAGUUCUGGCAGCCAUGCAUGCAUGGCUCGUAAUACGCCUGUCAAGCAUGUGCUCUGGACAAAUUUUCUUCAAGAACCAGUUAAUUUGGGAACUGAGAAGUUGAGAGUUGAGACGUCAUGUUGAAAGUCAUAAUGAAGUGGUUGAAUGCAUUACAAGUGAAAACCACCUAGCAAAAACCACUAUAAGAUGAGAGGGUGACAGUAAUAGAUUCAUAAUUAGUUUAGGGCACGACCUGAUUGGUUCUUAAUUCAUCUCUUCUCUAUGAUUCAUUUGGAUGUGAUUCUGAGCUGAAAACAUUCCUGUAAUCCAUUGUUUGAGAUGGUUGCAGGAUGCAGUCGCUGAUGGUGAAGUCUUUGAAAAUUAUGUAAACCUUUUCAACUAGCUAUGUUAUGAUUGUUUUAGUCUAGUAUGCCAGCAACUCCUGAGUUGUACAGUGGUCAUCCUACGCUUAAACUGCACCCCAUGUCCCUGCUCAUCUACAAUAAGAAAGUGAUGUCAAGAAUAUUCCUUGAUACAGUAUGUGAUAAUGUGGCUUUCUGGAACAUGAUUAAUCUCAGGUAAAGAUGACCAAAGGGCAUGAAAGGGCAAAAGGUAUGGGAGACAUUUUCUUCCAUUUUCUUGUUUUUUCUUUGCGUACUUGUUUAUACUUUAUACUAUGACUGAUAAUGACGUGAAGUGAGGAUAUAUUGCCUUGUAACCAAUGGAGAAGGAUGUUGGUUGAUGCAUUGAAGUUCAUAAUAACCCGAGCAACUAAUUUUGGUGCCUUUUCAUGCCUAUAGAUACCACCUGUUUCUUUAGUAGUUUGAAUUGAUUGCACGGUUGCACCCAUUGCCACUCCCAAAAUUAGUUACCUCGUUUAUGUUCUCAGAAGGUAUUCUAGCUUGGGAUGCAAGUGGAGCCGGCCAACCCAUUUUCUUCCUAGUUCAUUUGCUUGACAAAAACUCAUGUACAGAAAUGACUGUCGAUUGAGCUGGAAAUGAACAUCCUAUUGAGUGAGGUGGCCCAAUCGGUCGACCCAUUUGCAUCCCUACUUUUCUAGCCUUUAGGCGAACAUGAGCCUUCCUUAUUAUGCAUGACCGGUUGGUUGGGUCAGAUAGGCUUCAUAAUGUGGAUGACUGAAUGAAUCAGGUACCAACUUAUCGUCUUUAUAAGUGCAAUCUAUUUACCUGAUGCAUAUACACCUAGAUUAAAUUACACUUGAUGUCCAUAAACGCGAUCUAUGUAGCUGAUGCAUGUACGCAGUACGCCUAGAUUAUAUUACCCCAAUUUUGAUGAUUAUUCUGUAGGUGGAGGCGCACUAGCUGCUAGUCGCUGCGAGCAGACAGAGCUCCGCCCUUGUGAAUGACCAUUUUACCCUGUAUUACAAUUAUAUUAUGAGAAAGCGCAGUAGUGACCCGCAAAAAGAAGAAGAAGAAAGCGCAGUAGUGAGUUCAGUGCAGGGAGAUAUGAUGCUCCAACUCUGCGCUCAAAAACUUGAUUGCGGCAGGGAGAACACCAAAGCCCAAAGGGGUGCAAAAACAGAGUGCGUGCGCUCCACUGGCGUCCCUCUGUGCUUGUCUCUAGUUUGCUCAUAUUCGCUCUUGUUGGGCUUGGUGUUUGUAACUGUUAUUUGGAUAAUUUCUGAUCUUAUGUACUCCCUCCGUUCACAAAUAUAAGAUGUUGUAUUACCUCUGUACGCUAAUAUAAGAUGUUUUUGCAGUUCAAAUCAUCUUACAUUAGUUUACUGAGGGAGUAACUUUUUUGUGAAUCAGAUGUAUAUAGCUACGAUUUAGUGCGUUUGUUCACUCAUUUCAGUCCGUAUGCAGUCCAUAUUACAAUAUUGAAAACAUCUUAUAUUUGUGAACAUUUGUGAACAGAGGGAGCAGUUUUUUGAAAUUAUCAUCUGAUUGUCAAUUUUCAUGUCUGUGGCAUUUUGCGGUAAGUACUUUUAUUUAUGUCUGGAUACUGCGCACUGGACCAGCUUUGUACGUUUACUGCCAAUUGUUGUCGCACCCGGUACACAGACCAAAUAGUGAUGUGAUUGGUGCGGAGGGUCUAGCUAAACGAAAACAGUUCAUUCCCAUGUGCAUUUCGUUUACCAGCUAAACGAAAACAGUUCAUUCCCAUGUGCAUUUCGUUUCGCGUGGGUAAACUCCCGUGAAUCUUAAGAAAGGUCAAAGAUGGCUGCCCGUCCGCCAGCUUAAUUAUGCUAAUUGUCAUUGCUCUUUUCGUCCAUCCUUUUUCAGUUAUUUAAGCAUUAUACUGUGUGAAUUCUCUGCGCCGUACCAUUUCACUUUUGGAUUCCACUAAGCUUAAACAAAGCGUGCCAACCUAGGAAGGAUAAGCCGGCAUUCCGAUUUGAUGGCUGCCGAGCUGGGCAACUCAGCAGGGGAUCAAAUGAUGGGGUUACCCUUUUUGACGAUGCUUUUAAAAAAAUAGUUUCAUUCCCAGUUUAUUUUAGCUGACCAGUUAUGUUUAUUCUUGCUUGAAGAUGUAUCUGCUGCGGAGCAACCUAGUGGCCCUUCUGGCUGUUGUAGACUUUGUUCGCCAUGUUCAUAGAUAUCCAUCUCAAGCAUAUAUAGAGAUGUAUGAAGACCCAGGCUUUUCCUCCUCACCGCGGUUCUUGUUGUGUUGAUUUAGACGCAUGUGCCUUGGACGCGGAUUUUGCUUAACAGUUCAUAGAUGAACCUAGGAAGGAUAAGGUUCCCUUUUUUCGCAAAAAAAAAAACCCGAACAUAAUUCCAGCCGGAUUGUAUUGAAUAAGCAAAAUGUUGGGCUAUUUACUAAAGGCCAUCUACAAAAAUUCUCCACACGAUUCCGUCGCAAAAAGUUAAAUUCUUUGCACGAUUAUCACAGUUUGAGUUAAACACGUAGCUCCUCUGUUCUUACCUCCUUUUGUCGUGUCCAUGCAUUGAGGUUUGGUAGAUAGUGUUGCAAAGAACAUUCUAUAAACAGCAUUGCAUCAAGAUGGACUUGCCACUAUUGAUGAUUUAAUUAUUCUCGUGACAGUUGUGAGGUUGUCGCAGGGGCCAAUUGGCGAGCAUAAAACUGUGUGCUGGGUCUCUUUUUCGGCUACAUCACAGGAAAUGGAGUGUCCAGGUUGGGUCGAGCACAUGAUCUUUGCCAUGCUAAGGCCUCCGAUCUGCUUCUUUUGCACUCUGAAAAUAAACUCCAGUUGGCUUGCUUGGAUGGAACCUGCUACCUGGGCGACGGUGGCCAAUAAGCCGCUCGCAGUUGCAGUCUUAUCUAAACAACUCCAAGAGCUGGCUUGUGCUUUUCUAAAAACGUGUUGGAUGUUCGUGCUUUGCUAUAAAUAUAAAAUCCCCCGUGUCCUCGGCUUUGUUAUGCGCUCAAGUUGAGCUUUGCUGUGAGUUGUGACUCAUCUCAUGGUUUGUGCGAUGCUAUUUAUUUGUUAUAAUUUUUUCCGAGGAAUCGGCAGGAGCUUUGCCUUUAUAUUAAGAAAAAGAGAAUUGGCCAGUUUACAAGAAAAACUGGC